rnacentral:rRNA from 1 species
UACGAAGGGGGCUAGCGUUGCUCGGAAUUACUGGGCGUAAAGCGCACGUAGGCGGUCUUUUAAGUCGGGGGUGAAAUCCUGGAGCUCAACUCCAGAACUGCCUUCGAUACUGGAAGACUCGAGUCCGGGAGAGGUGAGUGGAACUGCGAGUGUAGAGGUGAAAUUCGUAGAUAUUCCGCAAGAAUACCAGUGGCGAAGGCGGCUCACUGGCCCGGUACUGACGCUGAGGUGCGAAAGCGUGGGGAGCAAACAGG